UGUUAAAAAUUCUAUCCACUUCUACUAUUAAAAAUUAGUAUAGCUGACAGAAUAACGAGAUAGGUACACGUGCGUCAUGCCAAUGUAUAGGGGCUAGUUUUUAACAGUAGAAAUCGGUGGAAGUUUUAAUA
rfam:Gossypium raimondii Chr08_contig_714, whole genome shotgun sequence.